GAAAUAAACCGGUGAAAAAAAAAACCCGUGACCGAUCCCUCGUUCACACAGCAGAUCCAUCUCCGCCGCCACCCGACACAGCAGAUCGAACUCCGCCGCCGCCCGAUCGCACGCCCGAUCCUCCCCUACGCCCAGUCCACGGCGGAUCCAUCCCUGUGCCGCGCCGCGGCGGAUCCAUCACGUUUUUCACCGACGAGGUACGGGAUCGCCGCCGCCGACCUUCCUCAAUCUUUUGUCUAGGGUUCCCCGCCUCCGCCGCCGCCGCCGACGGCGCCAUCGCGGAACCUCAGGGCAGGUCAGGUCUCCAAGCAGCUCGUGCUUGUGUGGAGUCGCCGCACUCCGCACAGCGCUGCCGCGGCGGAUCCCCGGGGCCGCCGCCGCCGUUGAACCCCAUGGACGAAGCCGUCCCACGAACGACCGAUGCAGGCACCACAACAACAGCUCGUUACCGAGUAAGUUCCCGGCACCCAGCACGCACAUUGGCACCAUGCUCUUGGUCAGCGGCUGCAUGCUCCUCGGUUUCCCUUGCAAGAUGAACACCAUACGCUGCACCGGGUCACCCUCUUGAUCACUUUCUCAUGCAGCAGAAUAUCAGGGGCGCAGAUGAUGUACAGGAUCAUCUCGUCCAUGCCAUGGAACAAAGCCACCUGCUUGACGAGCUCCAAACAGAGGUAAGGCUUGAUGCCCCACUGGAUCCACUUCAGAAAAGGGUGUUGACUGUUCUGAAUUAAGCCAAACAUGAAAUCUGAUUGAGGUAGGGAUGAAGCUCUUAUUUUGCAUAGUAUUUUUAGGCAAUUUCAGAAUUUACGUAACAUAUAUAUGUCCCUAGAUUAGAUAGUAUGCAUGCCCUCUGUAACCUGCUGAAUGUCUCUUGGGUAACUAAAAAUAUUCAGAAUAAUCUAAAUUUCAGAAAUUCUUCAUGGAUUAUGAAUGGCAGUUAUAUGCCACCAGAUAGCAAGAUUGCUACUUGAACAAUUUGUUAUCUGUGAAGCUUAGGCGUUAGACGAACUAAAUUUGCUAUCAUUUUCCACCAUUUAUAUUUAUUCCUAAGGCCAUCAGAGCCAUUAAGACACUUGCGCUGCCCUAAGGGAGUCCUGUUACCCUUUUUUUAGUCAAUGACCCACCAGUCACCACAAGUGCAAAUGGUUAGUUUACUAAAAUUCAAUGACAGUAUAUAUUUACUCCUGUUUAUUUGCACGUAUGGUUUCUCAAUUUCACUUCUCAACAUGGUAUUUGCAACUUAAUCAUUACUCAACCGACCUGCUUUUGGUAUACUUUUUUACAAGUAUAAUAAAAAAAGGGCAACCUGGUGCAUGUAGCUCCCGCUUGCGCAGGGUCCAGGGAAGGGUCCGACCACUUUGGGUCUAUAGUACGCAGCCUUUCUCUACAUUUCUGUAAGAGGCUGUUUCCAGGACUUGAACCCAUGACCUCAUGGUCACAAGGCAGCAGCUUUACCACUGCGCCAAGGCUCCCCUUCUUUUACAAGUAUAAUCACAUUAAGAUAUAUUACUGUAUCCCCCCUAAAAAAGGUAUAUUACUAUAAUUUAGUAGGGCGCUCAUUCGAUUCACAAAACAAAUUUUACACGAGAUUGUAUGAGCUUCUGCAUAUCUGCACCUAUAUUAGAAUCAGAUCAAACUCCUACAUUUACUAAUAUAGUUGAUGCCCCUUAAAAUGAUUGAAACAACAUUGUUAUGCAUGAUUAUCGAUAACUCAGGCACUCAGCUGAUUAGGCAGUAAAUGGUGACUAUACCAUGUAAGAUGCAUUUUCCCUUCAGAAUGUAACAUGUGUUUUUAUGAAUUUUUGGAUGCGAAACCAUUUGCACACUAGCAUGCAUACGCCCUGUCAACGAAAAUAAUAAAAUGAUUCAGCACAAUCGCAAGAUAUCAGUAGUUCAGCACACCAUGGUAGCACAUGCAUGGCCCACCAUGUACUCUCACUACUAACACCAUAGUCAAUUCAAGCGACCUAUUGCUAGGAAGUGCAUGAGCUGAUGCUAGCAUGCCCUGACAAAACAUGAAAAAACUUGUUCUCUAAUGUAUCUACCACCUGAGAGAUUGUUUCGAUACAAUUAUUGUAUUUAAGAAAAUAAUUACCAGGUUCUCUGAUGUAGUAGUUCACAGGUUCUCUGAUGCAAGGGCUCUGGGUCAUCAGCUUCGGCAAGUGGAGAUACAAGUUCGGGCACGACGAGCUUUAUUUCGUAAAAACGCGACUUUGAUGUUUGAAUCUUCCUUCUAAUCUUUUUAAUGAUAAAGAGGCUCUCUUAAUAGAAUGUGAAUUUUCCCUUUGUUUGUUAGCUUUUAUGCUUUAUUGUGUUCUUCGUCAAACAAAAAUCGCUACAGACAGGGACUGGCAUGGACAUCGUGGACUUUCACAACACGGCCUGCAGCACAGUUCCAACGUGCUCUGCUCCUCGGACUCUGUCUGUCUGUACAACAUCAACAACAGCCUGAUGGUUGCCUCCGGGCCAUGGCAUGGCAGGACAUGCAGGUUCCUAUUCAAUGGAGACAUAUGGAGGCGCUGGCCUGUCGCACGCUCGCUGGACACACAUGAGCAGCCACAUGGUGACUGUCUUCACGGGAGUUUUCUUUCUCCCAAGAGCGCCAGCUGCCUGAAGGGACAAAACUAUGGAGGGGCGGUGAAGAGAUGAUGUUGAAGUACUACGUGUGUUUCAGCACAAAAAUUGCACUGGAUUGUGCCGGCUGGGGUGGUCACUUUCUUUGGAAAGAAAGAAACAUAUAUAUUGGAGAUGCAUGCGUUUAGAUUUUUAUAUUUUUUUGCCAUGAGUUCAAUAGUCUCUGUUAAAACACAGUAAUUUUGUUGCUCUGCUGAGCAGGUUUUCUUAUACAUAUAUUUAUUUUGAAAAUUCAUAGAUGGAUGAAAUGCUGCUGAGACGUUACAAGAUAUUCCAGCAGAGGCAUCCUUACCGUCCGCAUUACAAGGAUAUGAGAACAUUGGGGUCCUGAAGGCAGUGACCUGUUUACCAUACACAUAUUUACUUCCUUUCUAGGGCGGAACAAUGGAAGGCACAAUUCCAAGUACAACUCUUCAAGAACAGGAUCUCGGAAGGAACAACAAUUUACAAGCUUGGCGCUUACCAGGUUCAUUAUGCUAGGGAAAGAUACAAAACUGUAGAUUGUCCAUGGAGAGUAGUGUUUGCCCAAAAAACUACCGUGGAACCAAUUGUGCCUCAGCCACCAAACUUUCCCAAGUAUGGAUAUACCACCUACAAUGUACACAGUAUCAAAGCCGCAUUAAACAAAUUGUUUUGUUGUCAGGUCAGCCACUCUUAAGAAUUGUUUUUAUUGUAUAAUUUUCCACUUCUUACAACUUACAAUUUACUGAACUUGUGAAUGUUGGAUUAGUUACCAGCAUCACAAGAAUAUUUGCGCCGAGCGGCGGAUCGAUUGACCAGAUAUGAGAAAAUCACAUCACAAACGUGUGCCAACUUUUAUCAUUUUUCAUUCUGUGUUCUUAUCUCUUCACUGAAACAAUGAUAUAUCUUUCCAGAAUGCCCGCCGUUGUGACGUUUUGGGGAAAAUUAGCAGAUUCCCUUGAUGCAGACAAAGCUACAACGGUGGAAACUUGGCCUCCAAGUCCUGUCUGGCAACUCGAUGGUACAUAAAUCUAACUAUUUCUGAAGCGGCAACUAUUCUAGGAAGAUCUACUGCAAGAUCCCAUCAAAUUGAGAUAAGCACCGGCUCACAGGGUCAUCGCUAGGCAACAAAUACAACAAUCACAUAAUUAUCAGCCGUUGACCCUGGUGGAAUCAUGGACCAGUACUAUAUACUGGAAAUAAAGAGAACUGAAGUGUCCCCUUCCAUGGCAUUGGGGGGCCUUUCUCUGCCAGGCGUGGCGGCUCCUUGGUAGGAUGAUGCAGCUGGCUCGGCGGAGGCUAGGACACAUUACAAGCCCCCUCACCCACCCCGACGAGAAGGGCGGCAAGACGACAACUGCUUGCUGAUUUUUAUCGUUGCAUAAAUAUGCUUAUUUUUACAUUGCUUGUCGCUGAGCUGGAGAUGGAAAGAACCAAUCUUACUAUACUGUUGUGUGAGAAAUAUUAGUCUGCAAAUUGAUUACUAAUCCCUCCGUCUCAAAAUAAGUGACUCAACUUUGUACUAGCUUUAGUACAAAGUUGAGUCACUUAUUUUGCGAUGGAGGGAGUAUUUUCUAUCCUUUGGUGAAAUGACCAGGAGCAAGCAAGAUGGUGCCAAUACUUGCGAGAUGAUAGUGUAGUUGGCCUUGACUUCCUUUUCUGGUCCUAACCAAUUUUAGAGAACAGUGUAAUGUUUUUUAUUGUUUAUUAUCCUCGGCGCAUACAAAAAAUUACUUGAGUCUCAGGUAGCCAGGUUGCAUUAUCACCAUCUUACAAAUAUUUGUUGUGCAGGUCUGAGCUGUGUGCAAGGAAGCUCAAGACAUUGGGGGAAAGCAUUGUUGGAUAUGUGGUAUCCUGACCCUCUUACUUGGGACUUGGAUAAGUUACAAUCUUACAUGUUCUGAGUUCUGUACUCCCAUGUACUUGGGUUCAAGAAUUUAUCUUGACAUUAUUUUAAAUUUUCUCUAAGAUGUGCAUAUCACCGCUGAAUUUUUUGCAAUAUAUAAAUUCAGUGUUACUGUGAACACUUGAACAAUACAUACAGAUGUGUGGAAUGAGAUUGUUCUAUACUGAGGACUGUAGUUUACUGAUGUAUAUUAUUAAUAAGCUCCUAAUAAAUAUGAUUUGCCAAAAAACAAAUUGCGCAUACAAGAGUCAGCUAGGUAAGUAUGAUUUAAUAGGUUACUGAAGAUUUGCGAUGAAUAAAAAUGGCACGGUCAGCUAGGUAAAUCUCAUUGAGUUUUACACAAUGAGAUGCAUAGAAAUAAUUGUUCUUCCUUGUUCAUAUGUUGCACAUAAUAAUACAAAAGGUUUAUUUCUAUGUAUGUUUAUUUUUGCAGAGUACAUAUCAGAGAUGGCGAGGGAUUAUGUCGAUGUUCAAAAAGAAUCAUAUUGUACAAGGGUCCCGAGGCAAUGUCGUUGGAAGGGGUCGAAAAUUUUCUAAGCUUUAUACAACAAUAUUGGAUAUGCAAGCAGAAAAAAAAGGCUAAGGCCCCUUUUGGUUCAUAGGGUUGGAAUAAUAAUAGGAAUAUAAAAAUUAUAGUAAAUGAGAUGUCAUGUAUCUCAAAUCAUAUGAAUAGUAAUACGAAAAGAGAUGUCCUUUCAUUCAUAUCAUUGGAUUUUUCCCAUUGAGUCUAGGUUAAUAUUAUUUUCAUAUGAAAUGUGAAGGAUAGGAAGAUUUUGUCCAUACGAAUACGAUUCUAUUCCUACAAACCAAAGGACUUUAAAUAUAUUUUUUCUAUAAAAAUCCUAUCCUAUAGAAUUCCUAUAAAAUUUCUCCAAACCAAAGGAGGCCUCAAAGGCCCGUAGCAACGCACGGGCAUUGUACUAGUUUAAUUUGGAUGACAAAGAUGAUGAUGAUGAGUCGAAGGUAGAACUUGAUUCCCUUGGUUCGUUUUGUGUACAUCUUAUUGACAAUGACUAUUAUCAGGAUGAAGCGUAUGCCAGCCGUGCAGAUGAUGCAGAGGUAAUUAUUAUUUUCUCCGGCUCAGAACCUCUGCCAACACAGGAAACCUGACAAGGAAGCUAGAAAGUAAGAUUUUCUCACCCUUUAGCUCAUUUGGAUCCCGACUUUCUUUUGAAGAAGCAGCAACAUGAAGCUCGCCAUACAACCUGGAACAGUCGUGGUGGAGUUUUAUCCUCUGGCUUACCGAACACCCCAGCACCUCGCAAACGUCGACCGGAGGGAGCAUCUCACUCUUCCUCUGGCGACUCAACGGGAACUCAAAUCCCAACUUUCAAGACUGUGAAUGGGCCAAACCCAGCAAAAAGGCGAAACUGAAUAAGCCGGCCAAUGACUCCAACCCGUCUGAGCCGGAAAACAACAACCAGAAUCCUCUCAUCCAAUUGUAGAAGCCACCAUCGAUGACCCGCCAUCAGAAGACCAUGAAAUAUCCAUAGACCAUAUGGAUAUUGAGCCGGCCAUUUCUAAGCCGCCAAGCCCAGCUAAGCCCGCUGAAGAUAAGACUGACGACGUCGUCGUCACCGGGUUUGGUUACACAACACCGGACAACCCCACUGUCUUAUCCAAGCACAGCGCCAAGGAAGAGAAAUCUGCUGAUGAUAAAGGCAAGUGGAAGGUAGACUUAGAGAGCUAUGCCCAGUUCAGUGCACAAGACACCCACUCUGGUUAUUUGAACCAUCUAUACACCAGCCGUGAUUUUGAAGCCGGCUUAGUCAAUUUGAUGAAGGAACGCUAUGAGGCUAAACUGACUGAGAAAAAUGCACAGCUGAAUGAUCUGAAGGCCAACAUUAAAACUCAGCAAUCUGAGACAUCCAAGGCCAAAUCAGAACUGAAGACUGCUUUAGAAAAAAUUGAGCAGCUGAAACAAAACUUCAACACUGACAAAGAUGGCCGGGAGACCAAAAAGGUAGCUCUAUUGAAGAGAGCAGAGGAUGCUGAAGCCACACUUAAACCGGUGACUGACGAGUUGUCCAGUUUAAGACACUAGAUCAAUAACAUGCCGUCAGCCAUCUUCGGUUCUCAGAGCGCUAAGUUUGGCUCAGAUAUGCGCAUCCGGCUUAAAGUUGUCUACACCCUUGUAGAACAGUUACACACUGGCACCCAAUGUACAAUUGCUGCUACUAUGCACAAGAAAUCUGCACCCACUCUCAUCAAAGAUACACUGGAGAGGCUAUCAGUGCUGCCCCAAAGGAUUGAUGAUUUAAAGUGAGCCUCUGCUAGAGCUGGCGCACUGACUGCCUUAAGUCGGGCAAAGGCAUGGCAAGCAGAUCUGGAUCCAGAAGAUUUGGCCAAUGGUUGCCCCAGUGUCAAAGAGGAUGGACCUGCCUUCAGUGCUAAUGACUUUGCAGAAAUAGCAAGAGCAAUGCGUCCAUUAGCAAGUAAGUUGGCUGAAGAAACCAAUCUAUCCACAUACCAAGCGGCUUAUGGCUCUGAGAACAAGAAAGUGAAGGCGCCGGUUCAUCAGGAGACGAAUCUCAUCCCGCCCAUUCGUAAGCAUACCUUCGCUCCUGAUAUUGAUCCAUUAUUGAUGAUGAAGCUAUGUUUAGAGCGUUGACCAGUAUCAACUGGGCUACACCUGACUUUGAUGGAUAAUCAAGGAGCUGAAGAAGAAGAAGAAGAAGCGCAGGAUGAUUCGGAGGCUUCAACCCGCCAGGAGUCAUGAGCCGUUUUAUUAAUCAUAGCACUUUAUUGUUGACGUCUCAAAAACACUUAUCCUCUUUGGGCCAUCGAAUGCCUU